UGACUGUGUCGGAUUUUCGCGAAUAGAC
rnacentral:piRNA from 1 species